AUACAAGCGUUGAAGAAGAGAAAGUACUCUUAAUGAUAUCUUUUCAGAGAGACUGUGGUCGGUGAGAACAGUCAAGACCAUUAAGAGGAAAUGGGGCUUCUGAGCUUCAAAUGACGUAAAUCGGCGUUAACGAUCAUAAGCUGACUUUUCCAAAGGAAAAGUAAUUAGGGUGGCACCGCGGUAUCAUUCGUCCCUUCC
rnacentral:ncRNA from 1 species